rnacentral:rRNA from 1 species
CGGGAAAAGCUCAAAUUUAAAAUCUGGUGGCCUUUGGCCAUCCGAGUUGUAAUUUAGAGAAGCGUCUUCCGCGCUGGACCGUGCACAAGUCUCCUGGAAUGGAGCGUCAUAGAGGGUGAGAAUCCCGU